UUGGGAUUAGCAUUUAGUUAUGUGGCUGCUGAAAAUACAUGUCCAUUUCACACGUUAAGUGGGACCGUGUAAAUAUUUAACUUUAUUGCUCUCUUAGAGUUACAUAUUUCUUAGGACAAUACGAAGCUAUUAAGUAAAAACAAAUUAAGUUGGAGCUUUCAAUAACAAACAAUGAAACAGUUUUUUAGUUAAAUAGUUUAAGCAUAUGGGAAAUUGUUUUGCAGAAAUUUCUUAGAUAUUGGGUUUUUUAUUUACAAAAAAAAGGUCUUGCCAGACUUAAUCUUUUUUUUAACUCUAGUUGUUUUUUAGGAGUGUUGUUUCAAUUGUAUAUAUAUCCUGAGCAAUUACAGGAAAAUGUCACUUAGAAACACAGCAAAAAUGAGAUAUAGUGAUUAUAAUCAGAUGAUAAAAAUUAUGACAUGUUUACUGCUAAUAACUUUCCCAGAACCACACCUUUUAAUAUUAGUUUUUGUUAAAAUUUAGAGGAAUUUCAUUACGUCAUAACUGCAUAAAGUUCUGCUGCAGCAGCAACCUUUGCUGGUCCCCCAAGGGUCAAGUUUCUCUCAUUAUCCAGCUGUUCUUUGAUAGCAUUAAUAUUUUAAGGAGUGAUUUGUUGGCACUUACCUCCCAUUAAUUACAUUCUCCAUGCCACAGUGGGAUUCUUUUUCCUGGAGACACCAGCUAUAAUUAAUUCCCUCAUUCAAAGCUCCUGUCUACUUGACUUAUUUAGAGGGCAUUUUACCCAAAUUUAGUUGGAUGAUGUUUACUAAUGGAAAGUAACCAAACCUCCAAAUUACUUGAUCCUUCGUAGAUCUGACUUGUGUGAACAGUAAACAACUGUGCACCAUGCUUCAGAUCUAGGUCCUCAUCCUAAGCACCUUUAAAACCAUUACAACAAUCAGCUUCAGGAGUUUGCCUGGGCGAGGGGUUGGGGGGAGGCAGUGAUAUGUUUGGUUUCUUGUCAUAGAAGAUCUCUGCAAACUUUCCAUUGUCAAAUUUUAACUUCAAAACUGAUGCCCUGAGAAUCCUUUUCACCAACAGAAAGAGAAUAUUCACCUCUUUUUAGAUAUAUAAACAUCCAAAGUUUUUGUUAUUCUGUUACUAGUUUAAUAGUAAAGGAAGAUGAAAAAGUUCUCAUAGACACCCCUGAAAGACUCUAGGGGGAAGACAUAGAGAUAGAAAAUAAAGUCCACAAUAUCUGGGGUAUUAUGAAGAGGUUUUGGAAAUUCUUUAUUGUUUCUUAUCUCAGUAACACAAAUUCCUUAUUUUGGUCAAGAACAUAAUCAUAAGAGAUCAUUUCCCCAGCCUACAUACAUUCUCUUGUGGCCCUGCCUCAAGGAAACUCUGUAGGAAGUGAGUUAAUUGACAUGAUGUCUGGACUAUGCUUUAAUAAACACCAGCAAGAAAGAAAGAGAGGAGAGAAAGGCAGAAAGAAAGGGAAAGAAAAGAGGGAGGGUAGGAGGAAAAAGAAAAGAUAGGUGAGCAAUAGGGAUGAGAAGAUGGGCUAGGCAGAACUGAAACACAACUGGCAACAUGUAGAUAACUGUAGCUGGCUGAAGGGAACUUAUAAAAUCGAAAUGCAACUCUUUUUUUCUUUUCUUUUCCUUUUGUUUGAGACGGAGUCUCACUCUGUUGCCCAGGCUGGAGUGCAAUGGCAUGAUCUCGGCUCACUGCAACCCCCAUUUCCUGGGUUCAAGCAAUUCUCCUGCCUCAGCCUCCCAAGUAACUGGGACUACAGGCACCCACCACCAUGCCCGGCUAAUUUUUGUAUUUUUAGUAGAGAUGGGGUUUCACCAUGUUGGCCAGGCUGGUCUCGAACUUCUGACCUCAGGUGAUCCGCCCACCUCAGCUUCCCAAAGUGCUGGGAUUACAGGCGUGAGCCACUGCGCCCAGCCGAUGCAUUUAAUAUUCUUAGGACAUAUUUGCUGACCAUAUUUUUAAACUUUGUUCUGGCCAGACAUGGUGGCUCAUGCCUAUAAUCCCAGCACUUUGGGAGGGCGAGGAGGGAGGAUCCCUUGAGCUCAGGAGUUCAAGACCAGCCUGGGCAACAUGGUGAGACCCUAUCUCUACUAAUAAAAAUAUAAUUAGCUGGGCAUGGCGGCACAUGUCUGUAGGCCCAGCUACUGGGGUAGCUGAGGUGGCAGGAUCACUUGAACCCAAGAGGUGGAAGCUGCAGUGUGCAGCGGUGGCACCACUGCGCUCCAGCUUGGGUGAACAGUGAUGCCGUGUCUCAAAAAAAAUAAAAAAGAAAAAAAUUGUUCUGUUGACUUAUCUUUUUUAUAUUCUUUGGAGCUGAGUGAAUGAUUUGAGAAAACCAAAAGCAGGGAGGUGAAGGGCCACAUGGA
rnacentral:lncRNA from 1 species